CAGGUUUUACCAUGAGAGCAGAAACUGGCCUGCGUUUAAUUGCAGAGACGAGGACAUUGGCUUGUCCGUUACAAUCAAUGUUCACAUUAUUUUUCUAUGCAACAGUAAAGAGUCACAAAUAAACAUCUGCUUCUGACAUCAUAUCACACAAACAUAAGCUAUGUAAGCUGGGGAGAUAGUACUAACAAUGGAAUAAAACACAUCUGUGUUAUGUUUGGUUACACACGUCUGCACAGUACAAAGCCUUUGGUUGUUUGGCUUUUUCGGGAGAAACAGGUGAAAGUGUUGUUUUUGCUGUACAUGGGCGUGAUCACGUGAUUUCAUAUGAAGUUCCAAGGCACAUAGAUAAAGUUACUGCACAGAAAAGUACAUAUCCAUGGCUGUACACUGUCAGAAACAAGCAUGUUUUGUAAGUUACAACCAGCUUGGCUAGAUUUCGUCCCAGCGGCCGGAAAAAAACCCCUCUGCAGUCUACAUUUCUGCCGACCACAGGUAUGUUGAAUGUGUGUAUAUCAUGCCUACCAUAUCGACAACACACAAUAAGUGUCAUAUCAUGUUCACAUGACAUGUAUAUAAGCUGACUGUCAUGUCAAGGAGGAGGAGGGAUGUUGACGUGACAGCUGUGACUGCUUGGAGCCAGAGAAGACUGUUCAAGACUAUGUUUGAACUCUUGUCAGCACUAAAACAGGACCAUAGUAUAUUUUCCAUCCACGAUGGUGGCAACAAAACUUUGAUAGUGAUGAGACAAACCUGGUAUUUUUCUAACAACAUGUCGAGACAACUUCCAGAAGUGUUUGUGGCAGCAGAACCACUGCGAAAUAUGACCUUUUUCUGACCCUUGCCAAUUUUUUUUUGUGUGUCUGAACCCAACUGGACCAAAUGCCCAGCAUUGUCACCACAUAAAAUUGAAAGAAAAAAAAAAAGUUUAAACAAAUGUUAACAUAUCUGUGGUUUGCAGAAUCGUACACUGCCAACAUUUAUUCUCGCAGUUGGUUCGCUAAAUUUGGCUUAGUCAGCAUUAUAUUGCUGAAUUUGCAGUGCUGAAAAACCCACGUCUGAUUUAAUUACUCUCACCACAAGUAUGACAUAUGCUUCUGAUCAUAACUCCAAAAGCUACAAAGUUGUACGUUUUUCUGAGAGUGUACAUAAUGAAAAAAAAAAAUGCUUCCACCUGGUACGUGUGUCGACCGUUUUUUCGCUAUUAAGGUGACACUGACGGUGGGAUAUGCGACCCUUCCUCUCCCACCCUAUGCAGGAACAAGCGGAGGAUACCACAAAACAUAGAGUUAAUUAAUAUUGAACGAUGCAUCCUCGGGAGUGCACGCUCUAGCCCUUCGCAAUUCAACUUGUGUUUUUUUUUUUUUUUUUUUGGACAAAAAGAAACAGAGCAGGCAGAGGUUUCCCAUUCCUCUGCUUCUGCCUCUCAUCUGUACACUAUACAGUGGCGGGAACAAGGAACAAGAACGAGAGCUCCGUGUCAACCCAGACGAGCACAUGUUCCUCAGAACGUGACCUAGUUUCAGAGAAACGUUGAGGUCUCGACUCCACAAAAUGACAAAAGGAAGCGGCUACUAUGGGCGCCGUUUUAAUCGCCUCAGCUGCCCUCUUGGCGCUACAUGUACACUGGCUUUUUUGCACACAUCAUCUUAUCAACAUCUAUUAAACAUCAGAAUGAUUCAUUAGGUACAUUAAGUAUGUCCAAAUAGCCUGCAGCGGUGGCAAGGCAGAGUGUGUACCCUUCCAUAUGGUUCAGCGGAUAUCAGCUCAGUUCGUUUGGGUGGGAGUAAAACGUGUGUCAGCUCAAAUUGUUCCUCGCCAGCUGCGCACGCGAACGAAAGACAGAAAGGGAUAGAAAGACAAAGAGAGAGAAAGAGUAAAAGUAAUUAGCUGAGGAUGAUGACAGCAUGGUACUUGCACUUCAGGCUCAAAGGCGCUAAACACCUUAACUGUAACAGUUGGGAUUGUGAGAUGAGUUUCUCACCAUGGCGCACACAUACGCACACACACACACACAUUUACAGAUGCACGCAUUUGGUACCGAGAGCAGAGGAAUAAAGAUACAUAGAUAUUGCAUGUUUCGGGAUGAUUCACAAGUUUUUUCUUCGUAACGUUAAUCGAAUCACACUCCUAACAAACAGAAACUCCGGCUGUGGUUGUAGCUCCCGUAAAGCCUUUGGUCUAGCGAUGUGUCACAAUAAUACCACACAAACACACGGUCGACUGGGUCAGCAUGACGAAGAGUCGGUCACCCCUACCGCCCUCUGUAUUACUCAGACAAGACUGCAAGGAGCUCAUGUCUGAGUGACACAUGGUUUUUGUAUUUUCGUUGCUUUAUAUACAUCAUGUGAAACUGUACUGAGCCCCAACGCAUGCCUAGAAAUGUGCGCCAACAUGAGCGUGUCUAUUCUGACCUGCGAGCGUAGAUGGGACUGACAGUGCUACACAUACUACUGCUACUAUAGCGACAGCCCAGAGACAAUGUCAUGACAAAUUAUACGCUGUGUGGUCAUCUAUGUGUCUGUGUGUGUGAGUGUGUGUGUGUGUGUGUGUGAGGCUACAGGUAAUCAUUUUCUGCAGUAAGCUCUCAGGACGAGCCCUGUCCGGCUCCACAUCUCUUCUGACUGCGCUGAUUGAUGGCUCCUAACUUGACUGAUGUGCCCGGGGCGAAGUGAAUCCGACACUGCACCAUAUGGUGGGUGACCUUAUUACCACAGAGGCUUUGCAGCCGUUUGACAAAUCUCCCAGCAACCAGGUGUGGCUCCAUCAUGGAGGUCCAUCAGAGAAAAGUCGCCGUGCACAAACAGCCUGAUAGCUAAACGGAAAUAGAUGUCUAUCCCGGACGUGGACUCAUUCAGUCAGCAUUAAUGGAGUGAUAAGCUUCCCAGAUUGAAAGGUCUUUGCUGUAGCUCCUUUGGCUCAUACUUACCAGUGAAGCUGUACCUAAGUGGAAUCAGCCCAAUUAUCUACUAUCUCUAACUGGUACUGUUUUAGAGAGCAAAUUAACCAGCAAGCCAGUUUAUGAAAAUGAUGUCACAUGGGGUAAGUUUGGGUCAUCAAUGGAGCAGUCCUAGUAUAGACACUAUUAAUAUUUAACAAUGAAUAAAUGUUCUAAUUCAGAGUAAUCGCCAUGGGCCGAUUUCCUCUGACGUCGGACUCAACUCUUCUUCGGGUGGGAAGCUCAACUGCUUGGGAUAAUGUUAUGCUGCUGUGUUCCGUGAAUCAUAAUCAUGUGGAUCAUAAUCAUUUCUUCACUUCCUUAUUGAUCAGCAGCUGAAUACUAUAAAUAUUGAACAUACAUGAGGACUUUGGGUGGUACUUUAAAGUACAACCACAUAUUUGCAAACCCAUUAGUUCUGAUAAAACAGCAGGUAUCGUGUGCAUUCAACGUGCCUGGUGAGCAUGACCGUUUGACCGUUCAAGGUGUGUUAAUAUUCAUCAUAAUGUAAAACUAUUAUACACUUUUGUUUGCUAGGAGGGUUGAAUGCUAACGUUAGCUGGUGACUCAUGGAAGCUAACAGGGAAGAAAUAUAUGGUCAUGUCUUGAAAUAUCGACCAAUGUCCCUUGGUUGUCUGGGUUGUCACUAUCACCUGUCUUCAGUUGCUAAUCAGUCAGGAGAUACUGAAACAAUUUGUCAGAUAACAACAGCAGUGGCAACAUUUGAGCGACCCACCUUGAGCGUGACGUCUGUGACUGAUAGAUGCCGCCAGAUCUUUGGCUUAACUUUAGCUCAGAGCUAACAUCAGCAUGCUAACAUGCACACAAAGCACGCACACAUUUAAAAGAUUCAAGCUGUUAUAAAGCAAGCAAGGUCAGAGCGACUGCAGAGAGGUUUCCCUCUCCUUCCACUUAAUCAAUAAUCCAGGAUGUUAAAACCACAAUUUAUGCCCUGGUGCACCUCCUCUUGCCAUGAUGCCAGCUAGAGAGUGAAAAUGGGCUUCCUUCCUUUGCCUGAAAAUAAGACGUCACGUUAGGAGGUCAUCGCCAUGUUGUUGCCCCGUUGAUUAUGUAAGAGCAGAUCAAUCAGCUGGCAUGAAUAAAACAUAACCACGGAACAAUUCAAGGUUGCGCUUUGUUGAUUUUUCUCUCUACAGACUCACAGUGUCGGCUGUUUUCCGCUGACAUGUUCGGGCAGUUUCUUCAGCAGUAUUUCCACAUUCAGAAAAAAAAAAAAAAA